AGAGGUAUGCAGAAUUGGAAGGAGGGACUGGGUUGAAGGAGUUUCCCUUGAGGAGGUUUGCAGAUCAGUUUUCUUAGAAGUAGGCUAUUUAUUGGGGAAAGCGCUUGAUUUAAGACUACAGUAUAGUUAGUAACAGGAGUGGGAGACUAUGCCUAGCAUCUAAUAGGUAUUCAAUGUGCCAGGUGCAGUAGUACACACCUGUAACUCAAGAGGCAAGGCAGGAGAACCACAAGUUCAAGGCCAGUCUCAGUAACUUAUCAAAAAAUAAAAAAGCCCAGGGAUGUAACUCAGUGCUUCUGGGUUCAAACCCCAAUACUGAGGAGAUAGGGGGCCAAAUAUCAACUCUUGCAUGUUUUUUUUUAUUCUGAAAAGUGUAGAGCUUUCUUCCCACCUCCCCUAGGAAAUUGACUACUACCUAUCUCAAAAAUAUUAAUCUUGUACAAGAAAAGGAUACUUGCCGUUAGUGAGGUUCUGGAGAUUAAAGGCAGAUCAACAGACUUUCCCUUUUCUUGCAGAACUUUCAAAGGGCCCUAGAAUUUAAGAAGAUGGUCAACAGGUAAUCUCUGCUUCUCUUACCCUUACCCUUCAGCUUGACCUUUCUACACUCCUGUCGCUAAGCCACACCGCAACUCUGUCUCGUUGAGGGCUCAUUAAAAGAAAACAGCUCAGGAGGUGAAGCAGGCGGAUCACAAGUUCAAAGCCAGCCUCAGCAAAAGCAAGGCGCUAAGCAACUCAAUGAAAUCAUGUCUGUAAAUAAAAUACAAAAUAGGGCUGGGGAAUGUGGCUCAGUGGUCAAGUGCCCCUGAGUUCAAUCCCUAGAACCUAUCCCCUAAAGAAGAAAAAAAAGAAAAAGCCUAGGCCUGGUGGCACCUGCCUAUAAUGUCAGCUACCAGGAGUCUGAGGUAGGAGUAUCAAGUUCUAGGCCAGCCUCGGCAAUUUAUCAAAACCCUAUCUCAAAACAUAAAAAGGGCUGGUGAUGUAACUCAGUGAUAGAGUGCUUUCCCAGCAUGUGUGAGGCCUUUCGGUUGAUCCUUAAUACCGCAAAGAAGGGGAGAAGGAGGAAAAAGAACUCUGAUGCCAGGUCUUCCUCCCAGGAGAUUUUGAUUGAAAUGUCUGGGAUAAGAUAGAAGAAGCCUAUUUUUAAGAAUAUUGGCCAGGUGCAGUGGCACACACCUAUAAUCCCAGUGUCUCAGGAGGUUGAAGCAGGAGGAUCGUGAGUUCAAAAGACAGCCUCAGCAACUUAGGCCCUAAGCAACUCAGAAAGACCCUGUCUCUAAAAUAAAAUACAAAAAAGAGCUGGGGAUGUGGCUCAGUGGUUAAGUGCCACUGGGUUCAAUCCCCAGUACCAAAAAAAAAAAAAAAUUUCAGGUGGUGCACACCUUGUAAUCCCAGUAGCUGGGGAGGCUAAGGCAGGAAAAAUCAAAGUUUCAGGCCAGCCUCAGCAAUUUAGCAAUUUAGACCCCGUUUAAAAAUAAAAAGUAGAGCCAGGCACAGUGGCACAGGCCUGUAAUUCUAGCAGCUCAGGAAGCUGAAAUAGGAAGAUCAUGAGUCAAAGCCAGCUUCAGCAAUGACAGGUGCUAAGCAAAUCAGUGAGACCCUGUCUCUAAAUAAAAAUACAAAAAUGGGCUGGGGAUGUGGCUCAGUGGUUGAGUGCCCCUGAGUUCAAUCUCUGGUACCAAAAAAAAAAAAAAAAAAUGAGAAGGUACAUACACAAGAAUGUUCAUGACAGAGUUGUUUAUAAAAAAUAAAGCUGGAAACAAACAACAAAAAAAACCUACACAACCUUUAAACUGAAGGAAGCAAAUCUCUGUGUUCAUAUGAGAAGUCCAAAUUGUUAAGUAGCUCUGUGUAUGUAAAUGUAUAAUGUCUAGCUGAGUGCUAGAGUGCUUGCCUUGAAUGCCUGAGGUCCUAGUUUAGCUCCCCAGCAAUGUAAGUAAGGAGGAAGAGGGGCUGGGGCUGGGGCUUAGUGGUAGGGCGCUUGCCUAGCAUGCACGAGACACUGGGUUCAAUCCUCAGCACCACAUAAAAAUAAAAGAUAUUGUGUCCACCUAAAACUAAAAAAUAAAUAUUUAAAAAAAGAAGGAGGAGGAGAAAGAAAAAAGAAAAGGAAGAUAUACCUGCUGGUAUCUGAUAGAAAAAUUUCCUGGAAGGAUGCAUAAGAAACUUCUAAGUUUGUUGAGCAAUACUGGGUCAGGGCUAAGCUUUUUUUAAUUGUUAAAGAAAAAUUUUAUUCAAAGUAAAACUAGGAGCUGUGCUUGCCUGUAAUCCCAGCUGAUAAAGGAGGCUGAGGCAGAAGGAUCAAAGGUUUGAGGCCAGUCUGGGCGACUUAGAGUCUUGAAAUGAAAUGAAAAAGAGGUGGGAAUGUGACUCAGUAUUACAGUGCUUCCCUGGCAUUCAAGAGGUCUGUGUUCAAUCCCAUGUACCAUGGAAAGAAAAAAGAAAAAGUAGAGUUAGGGACAAUGAGCUGAGAUCCAGGUCUGCCACUAAGUGACCUUGGGCAACUCACAACUUUCAGUUUCUUUGCCUAUAUCAUGUAAAAAUUAAUACCUGUGCCUCAAAGUUAUUGUAAUGAUUAAAUAACAUAAUUACUUAAUAUGCAAUCUUUUGACAAUGGAACAAGGGUUCUAAGUGAUGAAGCAGCCUCACUGAUUGGGUUUUUAAUCUCCACUACUUUUUUUUUUUGGUGGUAGUGGUCCUGGGUAUUGAGCCCAGGGCCUUGUGCAUACUAAGCAAGCACUCUACCAGCUGAGCUACAUCCCCAACCCUUCCUUUCCUAAUUCUAACCCAUUCAACCACCACCUCUGUACCUUGGGCAGGUGGCAAACUUCACAUAUUCACUGUGCAUGGCAGAUGACAUUGAGCCAGAGGAGAAACCCAUACACCAUCCUAAGGAUGCAGGAUGCCAUGGUAAAGGAAUUGGCACUGGCCAACAAACAACUACUGAUGGUGAGUUCUAGGAGAACUGUGCCUUUUCCAGCUGGGAUUUCAAAAUAUUAGUCUCUGUCAUUACUCACCCAGCUCAUUACACCAGAACAUCAACUGUUUAACUCCAAGUGCCAAAGUUCUUUUUCAAUAAGUGAUUCUUUGCAUCCAGCUUGCAGGUAACACAUUUCAAAGUCCCAGGGUGACCUGGGUGGUGUUGCAUACCUGUAAUCAGAACAAUUCUUGAGAGUGAGACAGGAGGAUUGCAAGUUCAAGUCAGCCUGGGCAACUUAGUGAGACCCUGUCUCAAAAUAAAAAUAAAAAGGAUUGAGGAUGUGACUCAGUGGUAGAGCACUUGCCUAGCACAUAUGAGGUCCAGGUUUCAACCCUCUGUACUGGAAAAAAAAAUGUUUUUCCAAAGUGCAUUAUAGUCUUUGUUUGUCUCAUCUUACUGAGACACUAAACUGCCUCCAUUAAUGCCCGGCACCUACUCUUGUUACGUCUUUCUCUCCCUCAUGUCCCAAUAGCUGUCAUGUCACCAUCUUUGUAUCCUGGGGAGCCUAGCAGAAUUCCUGAUUUGUGGUAUGUUCUCAGCAAAUAUUUGCUGGACAUAGGGCUUCACCCAUGAAGGAAAAAAAUUGGUUCAACCUCUCUAGCACUGUCUAGCUUUGAGUUAUAGCUAAGUCCGGGUCCAAAAGAAAAGGAGUUAUGGGAAAACAACCAGGAAGAGAGAAUGAGGAAGGUUGGUAAACAGAGAGCCAACACCACACUCUUCUGCCCUCCCUGCCAGGUCCGUCAAGCUGCCCUGCACCAGCUGUUUGAAAAGGAGCAUCAGCAGUACCAGCAAGAACUAAAUCAGAUGGGCAAAGCUUUUUAUGUGGAGAGACUCUGACAGCCUCCGAAACACUGCUCUUCCCUUCUUGCCAUACCUGCUAACGUAGCCUUCUUGAGCCUCUACUACCUUGAACUUCCUUCCCCAAACAGACUGAGCCUGGGACAAUUUCCCCAUCUUCAUCAACUUCCCUGUCAAUUCCCUGCUUCCAUCUGGGAAACAAUCUAUUUUUUAAAAAAAUGAUGAAGGGGGCUGGGGUUGUGGCUCAGCGUCAGAGUGCUCACCUGGCGCAUGCAAAGCCCUGGGUUCCAUCCUCAGCACCACAUAACAAUAAAUAAAUAAAGAUGUUGUGUCCAUCUACAACUAAAAAAAAUUCUUAAAAAUGGUGAAAACGAGUGACGCCUUGUGGUCGGAGUGGGAUCUGCAGCGUUGAUGUAAGGUGGUGGGGGGUAUAUAAUGGGAGUUGAAAUUCUGAUUUGAUUUAACAAAUAAAGCUACCUCUUAAAGGUUCACACUUUUUUGAACAGGGCUCAUUCUCUCAGCCUCAAAUAUUAUUUUUUUUUCUAUUUCUGUGGUACUGGAAAUUGAACCCAGGGGCACUUUACUACUGAGCUACAGCCCUCUUUUAUUUCUUACUUUGAGACAGGGUCUCAAAGUUGCUUAGGGCCCCACUAAGUUGCUGAGGGUGGCUUUGAAUUUGUGAUUCUCUUGACUGAGCCUCCAGAGCCACUGGUAUUACAGGUGUGUGCCACUGCACCCAGCUUUUUUUUUUUUUUUUUCACUUUUGAGGCAGGUUCUCACUAAGUUGCUGAGGGUCUUGCUAAAUUGCUGAGGCUAGCCUCGAAUUUGCAAUUAUCCUGCUUCAACCUCCCAAAUCGCUGGGAUUAUUGCUGGGGUGUAUGCUGCUCUGCCCAGCUUUGAUUUGUUCUUAACUACCAUAAUUUUGAUUUCCUGGACUUUGCACACCUCCUCUCAGAUCUUUUCUGUAUACUGGGACAAAUAGCUUUGAAUGUGGCUAUGAAUCUACAGGCACUAUGGUGCUUGAGUGUUAGGAUACAGUAUUCGAGGUUUUAUGUCAUUUAAUUAUUAUGAAACCUUUUUUUUUUUUCUUUGAGGUUAAACCAGGGCCCUUAACCACCAAGCCACAUCCCAAGCCCUUUUAUAUAUUUUAUUAGACACAAGGUCUUAUUGCGUUGCUUAGGGCCUCAAUGAGUUGCUGAGGCUGGCUUUGAGCUCACAAUCCUCCUGCCUUAGCCUCCCAAACUUCUGGGAUUACAGGCAUGCGCCCCUGCACCUGGCUUUAUUGUGAAAUCUUAGAAGCCUCUUUCCUAUGAGCCUGAAUACCCAUCUCUGCAAGAAUGAGAGGAUUCCAGACUCAAAUGCCCCCAGGUAAAAGGCAGAUAAUGUAGAAGGUGUGAGAAAAUGAAGGAUAAGGAGAUUUGUGAGAGAUCAGGAAGAGUAUGUCCAUCCAGAAGGCAUUUUAAAUACUGAAAAGUACUGAAUGUACCCACAGGACACAGAGAACCUUAUUAUUAAGGCUUUACUUUCUAUUCAAAUGACUUCCAAAGCCAAAGAGACAGACACUAUUGUUCCCUGAUGUAAUUGUCACUCAAAUUACUUUUCCCAAGUCUCUUGCCUUGCCAGUGGCAACUCUCUGGUCACUCAUCUUGGCCACAUGAUCUUUUCCUCCCCUCAACUCCAUGUGGCUGUCUCCACUACAAAACCCACAACCUUCAUUUCUUCUCUCAAGUUUGACUCUAUCCUUCAAUCUCCUACUGAAUCCCCAAUUUUUCAUCUUCCAGAUGUUAGAUCUUCUUCCUUCUGACCCUUCACAUUCCUGAUAAGUGCUGAGAGGUAACAGGGUAACGAGGAAAGCACAAGACAGGCACAGUGGCACACACCUGGAAUCCCAGUGCCUUGGGAGGCUGAGGUAGGAGAAACCCGAAUUUGAGGCCAGCCUGGGCAACAUAGGGAGAACCUGUCUCAAAAUGAAAAAAAGGUCUGGGAUGUUGCUCAGUGGUACAGUGCCCUGGGUGCAAUCCCGCUGCCCUAAAAAAGAGAGAAAUAACACAGGUUUUGGGCUGGGGAUGUGGCUCAAGCGGUAGGGCGCUCACCUGGCAUGCGUGCGGCCCGGGUUCGAUCCUCAGCACCACAUACAAACAAAAAUGUCGAGUCUGCCGAAGACUAAAAAAUAAAUAUUAAAAAAAAAAAUAACACAGGUUUUGGAGGCAGGUGUGGUUUCACAUUCCGGCUUUGCU
rnacentral:lncRNA from 1 species